CACAUGCAAGUCGAGGGGCAGCAUCAUCAAAGCUUGCUUUGAUGGAUGGCGACCGGCGCACGGGUGAGUAACACGUAUCCAACCUGCCGACAACACUGGGAUAGCCUUUCGAAAGAAAGAUUAAUACCGGAUGGCAUAAUUAUUCCGCAUGGGAUAAUUAUUAAAGAAUUUCGGUUGUCGAUGGGGAUGCGUUCCAUUAGGCAGUUGGCGGGGUAACGGCCCACCAAACCUACGAUGGAUAGGGGUUCUGAGAGGAAGGUCCCCCACAUUGGAACUGAGACACGGUCCAAACUCCUACGGGAGGCAGCAGUGAGGAAUAUUGGUCAAUGGACGAGAGUCUGAACCAGCCAAGUAGCGUGAAGGAUGACUGCCCUAUGGGUUGUAAACUUCUUUUAUACGGGAAUAAAGUUAGCCACGUGUGGCUUUUUGUAUGUACCGUAUGAAUAAGGAUCGGCUAACUCCGUGCCAGCAGCCGCGGUAAUACGGAGGAUCCGAGCGUUAUCCGGAUUUAUUGGGUUUAAAGGGAGCGUAGGCGGGUUGUUAAGUCAGUUGUGAAAGU
rnacentral:rRNA from 1 species